rnacentral:lncRNA from 1 species
GGAACUGUUCCGGUCGUGGGGCGCGCGGGCGGCGGCGGCGGCUGCAGUGCCCACGGGGCGGGGCCGGCGGAGGGAGAGGUGGGGGGGCGCCCUGUGGCCCCGCCCUGGCCUCCGCGCGCCCCGCCCGCAGCCCAGGACACCCCGGGCGCGGGGCCCCGCGCAGGGGAGUGGACAAGCGGGGGAGACCUGGUUACUCAGAGCGGGGGUGACCCCCUCCCCAUUCGGGAAGUGAGGGCCCCCUACCCGCCCCUAACGACCCCAGGCGGCCCCGAAGGGAGCAAGUGAUCCCCUCCCUGUUCAGAAGGGUACAGAACAUCUCAGAAGCGGGGAAAAUCCCUGAGUCAGAUUCCUGCAUUCCACCCUGCACACCCUACCCCCAUACCGGCGAGCUCCAACCCAGCGCGCUCUCCUCACCCUUGCAAGAGUCAGGGCCCCUCCUCCCCGGGCAUCCGGUCACCUUAGGGCCACCUACCUGGCUCAGACAGACACAGCGCAGGUCAGACGCACUAGACUGCACCCCCCGGGGUCCGCCUGGGGCAAGUGCAGGGACACUUAACUUAAAAAGGCAUCCGUCUGACCACACACAGCUGGAGGCUUGGAGGUGUCCUGUUUUCUACCCGCCAGUGCAGCGUGUGGACCCUGGGCCUGGGCACACGGGAGGCUCUUCUUGGGCAGCAAAGGGAUGCUGGAGCUGCUGCAGCCAUUUUGGCACUUUGAGGUAGGUCAGCACCCUGAAAGAAACCACAGGUGCUUUGAGCCAAAGUCGAAAUGCAAAGACCCCUCCCUCGUCCAGGGAACCUUCCCGUUCAGGCCUGUCACCCCUUCAAAAUAAAACCUAAACCUGGACAAUCUUUAACCUUGGUCCCUUGGGCUGUACCAUGGCUGAAAUUGUGCUGUCCACACCACCCUAAACGUUCCGGCACAUUCUGCAGCCUGGUCUCGCCUUUUAUCCUGGAGGGGCUAGGUCCUCAUCAUCAGCUAUCAUAAAUAUGCAUUGUCACUUGCACUAAAAGCUAGGCUUUCACUUUUUUUUUUUUUUAAUUUAUGUUCAAACCGACACGCAUCUUGGUUACUUCUCUUUCUAAUUCAUUAAGUUGACUUGGCCUUUUUUUUUUUUUUAAGGGCCACCUUCCUUGGCUCAAAAUGAAAAUUUCCGUCAUCUUUUGCAGAUGCUCUGAGAGCAUCAAGAAGCUCUAAGCUCCAGAAUAAAAAUUAAAUUAAUUGAAGAAA